rnacentral:rRNA from 1 species
UGGGGAAUAUUGCACAAUGGAGGGAACUCUGAUGCAGCGACGCCGCGUGAACGAAGAAGGCUUUCGAGUCGUAAAGUUCUUUUAUAUGGGAAGAUAAUGACGGUACCAUAAGAAAAAGCCCCGGCUAACUACGUGCCAGCAGCCGCGGUAAUACGUAGGGGGCUAGCGUUGUCCGGAAUCACUGGGCGUAAAGGGUUCGCAGGCGGAAAUGAAAGUCAGGUGUAAAAGGCAGUAGCUUAACUACUGUAAGCAUUUGAAACUGCAUAUCUUGAGAAGAGUAGAGGUAAGUGGAAUUUUUAGUGUAGAGGUGAAAUGCGUAGAUAUUAAAAAGAAUACCGGUGGCGAAGGCGACUUACUGGGCUCAUUCUGACGCUGAGGAACGAAAGCGUGGGUAGCAAACAGG